UGUAUAUCUGUGUGUAUUUUUAAAGGUUUCUUUGAACUGCCUUUGUGCUGACUAGGCAAAGCUCCUUGCCAAUGCUAGUCACGGUUUAAGGAACUUUGAGUUAACCUCUUAUAUCGAAUGAAUCUUUUCAUUUGGAAACCAAUAAAUCUCAAUCUCUAGCCACCUUUUGUAGAACAGGCUGGGGUUUACCAAGGCAAGGCUGAAGCUUAUAAUAAAGAAGAGAUAAAGUUUGCCAAAGUUUUUUUUUUUUUUUUUUUCCUCCCCUUCUUCUUCCUCUUCUUCUCUUGUAAAUAAAAGUUUUGGAGAUGGCAGCAUUUGGAAGCAAUCCGGAGAAGGACUUGGAUCUAUGCAUUGUUUCACAGUUUGUUUAAGGAAGCUGCCUUUGCCUGGGAGUUUCUUCAGUUUGACUUGGAAGCAGGAUUUUCUUACACAUACACGAAACGUCAGAGGACUGUGGAUUGGGGACCGCUGGCCUAUAUAGACGGAGAGUCGGUUUAGCUAUUAAAAUCCUGGACCCUUAAAUCCUGGUAAGAAACCAUCCUGUCUGGCUCCUGCCUCCUUCACAUCUUCAUGAUCUGAAUGUGCCUCCUUCUCCCAGGAACACAUCUGUGCGCAUAUAGGAACAGAAAGAGGGGUGUAGCUGCCUCUCUGGGAAUCACACCUGGGAAAAGGGGGGGUGGUCUCAUCCUGCACCAUUCAGAAACAAAUUCAGAGUGUUCUCCACGACUUUUCCCCACAUGUCAUGGUCUGGGCUGCAGGACCAGCCCUUGGAGAAGGGCCAUGGAGCCGGCUGCUGCUUGGGGGCCACUUCUCCUUCCCCCAAGCUCUGCGAUAACAUUUCCAGUGAGCACAGAGGGGCAAAUGACAGAACACUUGCAAACGUUUGAAGGGUUUUUGCCGAUCAAAGUUCAGCACUCCAGUUAGUCAUUAUUUCAUAGCAAAGAAGGCAUAGAGCCUCGGUGUUCUCUAAGUGAUAGACACAGGGUGACAAUCACAGGGGCUCUGGUGAACUUCCCGAUAUUAAGGCAGCUAAAGUGCUAUUCAGAUGUAAUCCAAUCAACAAGACACUGCUCUAAGCAAGCUGGGCAGCAUGGCAAACUGAGCUGAUGAGCACCCGGAGCUGCGUACCUCCGACGUACAACGGUGAGAAUAAAAACUAAAGAAGAGCUGGCCUAUUUGAAACUUCAGGGUAAGGGUCAGGGUGUUUCCUGACAUGCCAUUAUCAGUGGUUACUGGUGACAAGAGACUGGUGAGAAAUGGAGGGAGAUGAUAAGCAAGUGCUUGUGGUGCGCCUGGGGCAGACAAAAGAAGUCAGAAAGAAACAUUUAUAUUUUCUGGAGCAAAGAGAUUAAUUAGUGAGAAGAGCUGUUUUUGCAGCACAGAGAGGGUUUUCUUCACAAAUGGACCUGAAUAGUAUCAUUAUAGAGAUGGGGGUCUACACGGGCUUCUAUUUCUUCUCUUGGGAAACUGUGUUUUGUUUGCUAGUGAGGGAAGAGCGAUUCAAUCUCCUUAGUCCUACCAGGAAAUCUAUCCCCAGUAAAAUCAAAUCUUAGUAAACAAAAAAGCUAUUUUUUUUUUGUUGUUGUUUGCUUGUGUGCUUUUUUGUGUGACAACAAAUGCCUUGUUGAAAACUGUCCAUCCACAUCCAGCAAGUGCUCCUUGAAGCCAAACUUUCUAAAACUAUCCUGAAGCUUUGCAGGAUAAAUUUCAAAUGGUGAAGGAAGGGUUGCAUCACCUUCAUCCUACACAGCUGUUGCAUACUUUACAUUUGGUCCCCAUUUCAAAUUAAAAGACAAUUUACGAGAUAGAUUGGCUGCUACAUUCAACCCACCUGUCAAGAUCUUGGCUAUUUUUUAAAGUUCCCACUUCAGGGACAUUUCCUACAGGAUAGGAAAGAGGGACCAUUGGCCACCCAUUGGCUGCAGCAGUGCCAUGGAGAGGGGAUAGUGGGACAGGAGGGAAAAAGAUAGUUUUAGAUGUGCCUAAACAGAUGAUCCAAGCUGGCAUCACUGGUGAAAAAGAGACUGAGAUAUAGUACGGAAGAAUGACAUUGAAAAAAAAAAAAAAAAAAGCAUAUGGGCAUCUGGAAAGGGAAGUUAAGAAGUCUGACCUUGCCGUAGGAUGGAA